CUGCCUGAAGGGGGAGGUGGGCGGUGAGGCGGGUGCAGCGGCCUCGGGGCGCCAUGGCGAGUGAGUGGCGGGGGCGCGCGGUCGGAGUGGCCGUUGCUGCCCUCCCGCGCCUCUCCUCUCCUUGCCCCGCUCCCGCGGCGUCCCGGCCGUUGGGGGCCGCCGUCAGCGAGGACCUGCCCCUCCGGCGGAGCUCUGGCCUCCCGCCGCGGUGACCGCCCCUGAGAGGGGGCGCCGCGCCGCCCCGCGCCGGCUCCGCGGCGGAGCCCUGCGCAGCGCGGAGGGGCCGCCGCGAGCUGUCCCCGCGCUGUUACUUGCCCCGCGGGGACGCAGCCGCGGCCUGCGCGGAGGCGGGCGGGCGGGCUGUUGGGGAGGCUGCGCGGCGAGAAUCCCUGCGCGGUGCUCUAGCGGGCGGUUUGCCGGGAGGCUGGGUCUCGGCCGGUCAGGCUUGUGAAGCUUCUGACGCCUUCCAGAAGAAAAUGCCCGUGCUUCGGAGUGAUGGAGAAAUGAAGUGAUGUUUUACUUCACUGACAUGCUGUUAACCUGGCUGUGGUUUGUGUUGCUGUAGAGUUAUCCUAAGGACUGUUUUUAAAGAAGUUCUUGGAGCAGCUUGGGCCAGAAGAAGAGAACUCGUGCCUCUACUGCACUCUUGCGCGUUUCUCUGUGCUUCCGUUAGUCUUCCGUGUCAACGUUUUAACACAGAGCUUGGGUACAACGCAGAACUGUAGUGAGAGAGCUUUAAUUUUGCCCUUUUUACGAACUACAAAUCUGAGGCCCAGGGCGGUUGAGGCGAAUGAUUUCCUGAGACUUCUCGUGCUGACUCCUGCUUGGCGCUCAUUCAGCUUCACGUAUCUGCUGUCAAAUCAGAUAACCUGCAAUGAGCCUGCAACGAGCCUGCACACUGGUAGAAGAAACAUGAGCAAAAGGCGUAAAAGUUGUGGCUCUACCUGUGAGCAGAGGUCUUAAACUUAAAUAUCCUGAUCCUCAGAUCCUUGGAAACCUCUUGUUCCAGUGUUAAUUGAAUGUUUUAACUCUCCUUAUGGAACCCAGUACUUCAAAGAAUACGCAGAGACGAUUCCUGGAGAGUCGAGACACAAACUCUCAGAAGCUGCCAAGGAGUGUAGCAUUUAUCUUGUUGGAGCUUGUGGCUACAUGAGAGAGAAAUGCAACAUUACACGAAGACCUCGUAUGACGUAAUUUUGUGGACAUGCCCUUAUGAUGAAUGAAUUCUCGCCCUCAAAUAGCCAGUGCUUGCUGCAGAUAAGGAGACACAUGUAAAUAUACCUCCUCUUGUUGCUGUGACGCAUGUUAAUUAACGGCUGGCAGGAUGGCUGCAGGGAAGCUUGUGAUUAAUUCUGUGUACUUCUGGCAGCAAUAUGACUGUUGUCUCUUGUGUUUUGAGAACAGCAUACUGUACAGUGGGCCUGGGCAUCUGCUAUGAUAUCAGAUUUGCUGAGCUGGCUUAAGUCUGUGGACAGAAAGGUUACCAGCUGUUGAUAUAUCCAGGGGCUUUUAAUCUAACAACAGGACCAGCUCAUUGGGAGCUACUGCAAAGGGGAUGAGCUGUUGAUAAUCAAGUCUAUGUAGCUACUGCAUCUCCUGCUAGAGAUGAAAAAGCAUCCGACGUUGCUUGGGGACACAGCACUGUAGUAAAUCCGUGAGCAAACUCAUGUUAAACUUUGCACGAAACCGUUUAACUUCCUCAAAGAACAACCCUGCUUUGGCACAAGAAGGAACAAGAAUAUCUUCAACUAGACAAGACACAUUCUGACUAAAGCAGCAGUAACUUUCUGCUCUGCGCUUGAGUGGCCCUGGGUAAAAGUAACAGAGUCUUCAGUCAACUCUUUUUCUUCCAAAUAAAAAAUUCCACUCAUUCUUCUAGACAGUUGCAAAAUCUGAAGAAGCUUGCAGAAAUCUGUCAACAAAUCCCUGUUUUGAGCCAGAAGCGUAAUGAUCUCUAUGGCAUAGAGAUGAAAAAAUGAAGCCACGUGAAUGCGGAAGGCUCAGGUGGCAUCAUGGCUGCUGCCUUCAUCUUUAGGAUUCCUUUGCUUGGUAGCUCCGGAGGCUACUGCUAAAUGGAUAGUUAAUAAAAAAAUAAAUAACUA